rnacentral:siRNA from 1 species
UUCCCGCUGAUUUCUGGAUACC